rnacentral:piRNA from 1 species
UGCCCAACCUCAGUGCCUAGGACUCUGUGU